GGAAGAGAAAGCAAACGCGAUUGCCUUAGUAGCGGCGAGCGAAACGGCAGGAGGGCAAACCGAGAAGUUUACUUCUCGGGGUUGUAGGACUGCGACAUGGGACUUUAAAAGGAUAGAAGAAUUACCUGGGAAGGUAAGCCAAAGAGAGUAAUAGCCUCGUAUUUAAAAUUCUUUUGAGCCCUAGCAGUAUCCUGAGUACGGCGAGACACGCGAAAUCUCGUCGGAAUCUGGGAG
rnacentral:rRNA from 1 species